UACGUAGGGUGCAAGCGUUGUCCGGAAUCAUUGGGCGUAAAGCGCGCGUAGGUGGCCUCAUAAGUCCGCUGUGAAAGUCAAAGGCUCAACCUUUGAAAGCCGGUGGAUACUGUGGGGCUAGAGUACGGAAGAGGCGAGUGGAAUUCCUGGUGUAGCGGUGGAAUGCGCAGAUAUCAGGAGGAACACCAAUAGCGAAGGCAGCUCGCUGGGACGUUACUGACACUGAGGCGCGAAAGCGUGGGGAGCGAACGGG
rnacentral:rRNA from 1 species